CCAACGGCUCUUUUAAGAGCCACCACGCUUUCCUAAACAGAGCUG
rfam:Acanthisitta chloris contig32885, whole genome shotgun sequence.